rnacentral:tRNA from 1 species
GUUUUUAUAAUUUAAAAAAAAUAUUAGUCUUGUAAACUAAAAAUAAGUUAACCUUUAAAAACA